GAUGAACGCUGGCGGCGUGCCUAACACAUGCAAGUCGAGCGAACCCUUUGGGGUGAGCGGCGGACGGGUGAGUAACGCGUGGGUAACCUGCCCUAUACACACGGAUAACGUACCGAAAGGUACGCUAAUACGGGAUAAAGUUGUUGGAUGGCAUCUUCUAACAAUCAAAGCUCCGGCGGUAUAGGAUGGACCCGCGUCUGAUUAGCUAGUCGGUGAGGUAAUGGCUCACCAAGGCGACGAGCAGUAGCCGACCUGAGAGGGUGAUCGGCCACACUGGAACUGAGACACGGUCCAGACUCCUACGGGAGGCAGCAGUGGGGAAUAUUGCACAAUGGGCGAAAGCCUGAUGCAGCAACGCCGCGUGAGCGAUGAAGGUCUUCGGAUCGUAAAGCUCUGUCCUCAAGGAAGAUAAUGACGGUACUUGAGGAGGAAGCCCCGGCUAACUACGUGCCAGCAGCCGCCGUAA
rnacentral:rRNA from 1 species